UCAACAUGGAGAGCUGUGCACAAACAGUCGUCCGAAGCAACUCAAAAAACAUUCUGUCAUCUAACUUACACUCAUUUUGGGAAAUCUGGAUACUUUAGUGCUAUAUGCUGUCAGACAUGGACACAUUGAUAUGUUGCAUCAUUUAGUAGAGCAGCUCAACAUGGACAUUGAAGUGUACAACGACUUCUUCGAGCACUGCACGAGGCUUCUGAAGGGAAUUUAUGAAUUUUCAUAUAGUCAUUUUGGAGCUGCUGAAUCAUGGUGGUAACCCAAUGCUGUAGAACAAGGAUGGAUGGAACUCAUUCCACAUUGCAUGCUGAGAAUGAGAUCUAGCCAUCAUACACCACCUCCUACUGGCCAAACCCGAGGUGUGGAAGACAAAGUGCAAGACUGGCAGGACACCUCUCCACACUGCUGUGAAGAUUAUGCUUCAGAGUUGUAGCUAUGUGCCUGAUGAGAAAGAAAGUUGUGGAGUCACACCAUUUAUGGAUGCCAUAAGAAAUUAAUUGCUCCUUGAGAUUCACCAGCGGUAGAUAUUAUAGUUGCACAGACCCUACACCAGGCCUCUGUAACUGCUCAGGAAGAAGCACUUUAUUUCCUCGUGCAUAAUCUUGGUAUUGAUAUAAACUUAAGAGCCACAAAACUGAAGCUGACUGCACUGCACUACGCCGCUAAGGAAGGUCACACAUGUUUCAUAAAAACACUGCACGCCCUGGGCGCUGAUCUACAUACAAGAGACACAAAAGGAAGAUCAGCUCUACAUAUGGCCUGCAUUGGACAGAAUGUGGAUGCCUUUAGGAUGCUGCUGCAAUUGGAACUCAGAUAUACUGAAGACAAUACAGGCAAUACAACAAAACAGUAUGCCAAAAAACCUCAAGACAUUAAGGAGAUACGGACUAUAAGUGUCAUUUCUGUCAUACAAUUUAAAUAGC